CUUUGUUGAACCUUGUCACUGCUGGGACAAAUCCAGACAAACACACUGCUGAUCUGGACCAGAUACUCUAUAGUUCCACCUUUUGUUUCCACUGUAAUAUGUGAUCCGAGAGACUCCUAAAACUCAGGAGUGGUGAACAAUAACGGCAGUGCUGCAAAGAAACAAAUAAGAUUGUCAAACAAAUUUGUGGUGGA